rnacentral:rRNA from 1 species
GCGAGGUGGUGCUAAUCCUAGAAAAUUCUUCGUAGUCCGGAUUGGAGUCUGCAACUCGACGCCGGGAAGUCGGAAUCGCUAGUAAUCGCGAAUCAGCAUGUCGCGGUGAAUACGUUCUCGGGUCUUGUACACACCGCCCGUCACACCAUGGAAGUGGAUUGCACCAGAAGUAGAUAGUCUAACCUUCGGGAGGGCGUUUACCACGGUGUGCUUCAUGACUGGGGUGAAGUCGUAACAAGGUAGCCGUAGGGGAACCUGUGGCUGGAUCACCUCCUU